rnacentral:rRNA from 1 species
GACAGAGGUGCCGAGCGUUAGGCGGAAUCACUGGGCUUAAAGCGUGUGUAGGCGGACCGUUAAGUACCUUGUGAAAUCCCACGGCUCAACCGUGGAACGGCCGGGUAUACUGGCGGUCUUGGGCCACCUAGGGGCGAGCGGAACAAGCGGUGGAGCGGUGAAAUGCGUAGAUAUCGCUUGGAACGUCGACGGUGAAAACAGCUCGCUGGGGGUGUGCCGACGCUGAGACACGAAAGCCAGGGGAGCGAACGGG